rnacentral:rRNA from 1 species
GAUAUGAACUCUCCGAAAAAAUUACGCUGUUAUCCCUAAGGUAAGUUAAUCUUAUAAUCAAAAAUUCUGGAUCAAAAAAACAUAAAUUAAUGAAUAAAAUAUUAAAAGUUAAAUAAAUUUUAAUGUCACCCCAACAAAACUUUAUAUUCUAAAAAAUUAUUUAAUAAACAAAAAAUAAUAAUUAAUAAAUAAAGUAAACUUCUAUAGGGUCUUCUCGUCCUAUAAAAAAAUUUUAGCUUUUUAACUAAAAAAUUAAAUUCAAAAUAAUUAAAAAAAGAAAGUUUAUUUUUCAUCAAACCAUUCAUACUAGCCUUCAAUUAAAAGACAAAUGAUUAUGCUACCUUCGUACAGUUAAAAUACCGCAGCCUUUUAAUUCAUAAAAAUCAAUGGGCAGGUCUGAUCUUAAAUUAAAAUCAAAAGACC